CCUACGGGAGGCAGCAGUGGGGGAUAUUGCACAAUGGGGGCAACCCUGAUGCAGCGACGCCGCGUGAGCGAUGGAGUACUUCGGUAUGUAAAGCUCUGUCAGCAGGGAAGAGAAUGACGGUACCUGACCAAGAAGCCCCGGCUAAAUACGUGCCAGCAGCCGCGGUAAUACGUAUGGGGCAAGCGUUAUCCGGAUUUACUGGGUGUAAAGGGAGCGUAGGCGGCAGGGCAAGCCUGAUGUGAAAGCCCGGGGCUCAACCCCGGGACUGCAUUGGGAACUGCCCCGCUCGAGUGCCGGAGGGGCAGGCGGAAUUCCUAGCGUAGCGGUGAAAUGCGUAGAUAUUAGGAGGAACACCAGUGGCGAAGGCGGCAUACCGGUGCACAACUGACGCUCAGGCACGAAAGCGUGGGUAUCGAACAGGAUUAGAUACCCCAGUAGUC
rnacentral:rRNA from 1 species